CAAUCCAAGUGGAUUGAUAGCUUAAGCAAGGGAUUGGAUAGAGUAGAAGUGAUCAAGGUAGAUAGCUGGAAAUUAUGGAUGAGUAAAGAGAAAAUUAAUCUUUUUGUCAUUUUUUUCUGCACUUUACUCUCAGAAUAGAUACCUACAAGGUGAUUUCCAAGUUCUUCCUCAGUCUUGAGGUUUGGGAUUCCCGGUUUGGGUCAGCAAAUUGCGAGAGUAGAGGCCCACUUCAGAUCAACGAGUGGAUCCUGUCUCAACCUAAGCUCUAAGGUUGCUUGUGCUGUUAGGGUCACAGCUACAGGCCCAGGAACCCUCUGGAAGAGGAGGUGGAAAAAGGGCAAGAGCCAAUUGGAAUGGACGACACCAAGGAAACACGGCCUUCUAGACCCAAGACGACCAAUGUACCUAUGAACUCACAGAGCCUGGGGCAGCAUGCACUGGACCUGCACAGGUCUAAGCCAGAUGUGCUCUCAGCACUGAGAGGGGAACUGAACCCCAUUCUACACUGAUAAUCCAGAAGCUUUCCCCAGUUGAUAAACUCUGUCAAAGGAAAAACCAGUUUUCUCCAAUGGAGUCUCACUGGACAUAUAAACCACCCUUAAGAGCAGGCUCCACAGCCCUGAUGGCCAACACGCAAUGAACUUGAUGGCAUUUCCGGAGGGUUUUGUGACUCACAGUGCUUUGUCUGGGUACUUUUCUCACGCUACAGAUAUUUUUUAUAUAUAUAUUGGUCUCUAAUUGUAAGUGUCUCAGUGUCUGAGUAUGUUUCUUGUGAUUUUCUUGAGCUCUUUUUUCCUGUAAUGCUUUGCUCAUUUUUACUUCUUCUUCUUCUCCUCCUCCCCUUCAUUUUAGAUGCCUGUUUCUAUUCUAAUGUAAGAUGAAUAAAUGGGUGUGGAUUUGGAGGGGUGAAAUAGGGGGUGGGUGAGGGGAAACUGUAAUACAAAUAUAUUAUACAAAAAUACAUUUUAAUAAAAAAGUAUUUCCUCUAUGACUAAAGAGGUGUGAAGUACAAUUAUUGAGAGUGAGUGGAAGGAUCAAUCGAAAAUAUAAAUCAAUACAUGGGCGAGUGGGUGCUUGCCUCAUUGUAUCAACCACACCCUGAGAUAAAAGAUAUUAAGAGCAGAAAAGACUGUGUGGGAUGGGGAUGGAUUUGACCCCAACACGUUAUAUGCAUGCCUGAAUCCUUACUAAUAAUUUUCAAAG